AUUGAACGCUGGCGGCAGGCUUAACACAUGCAAGUCGAACGAGUGGCUGACGUAAUGGUAAUGCUUGUGACUGUCACUUGUGGAGGGGGAUAGCUACGGGACGCUGUAGCUAAUACCGCGUUCCUUAGGAUGAGUCCGAGUGGGAUUAGGUAGUUGUGGAGGUAAAGGCAUACCAAGCCGACGAUCUCUAGCUGGUCUGAGAGGAUGACCAGUCACACUGGAACUGAGACACGGUCCAGACUCCUACGGGAGGCAGCAGUGGGGAAUAUUGGGCAAUGGGCGAAAGCUGACGCAGCCAUGCCGCGUGAAUGAAGAAGGCCUUCGGGUUGUAAAGUACUUUCGGUAGCGAGGCGUUAACUACAGAAGAAGCACCGACUAACUCCGUGCCAGCAGCCGCGGUAAUAC
rnacentral:rRNA from 1 species